rnacentral:rRNA from 1 species
UACGGAGGGAGCUAGCGUUGUUCGGAAUUACUGGGCGUAAAGCGCGCGUAGGCGGCUUAUCAAGUCAGAGGUGAAAGCCCGGGGCUCAACCCCGGAACUGCCUUUGAAACUAGUAAGCUAGAAUCUUGGAGAGGUCAGUGGAAUUCCGAGUGUAGAGGUGAAAUUCGUAGAUAUUCGGAAGAACACCAGUGGCGAAGGCGACUGACUGGACAAGUAUUGACGCUGAGGUGCGAAAGCGUGGGGAGCAAACAGG